GACAGAGGGGGCAAGCGUUGCUCGGAAUUACUGGGCGUAAAGGGCGCGUAGGCGGGAUGGCAAGUCGGUCGUGAAAUCCCUCGGCUCAACCGAGGAACGUCGAUCGAUACUGCUGUUCUUGAGGAUUGCAGAGGAGACUGGAAUUCCCGGUGUAGCGGUGAAAUGUGUAGAGAUUAGGAAGAACACCAGUGGCGAAGGCGACUUACUGGACUGUAACUGACGCUGAGGCAUGAAAGCGUGGGGAGCAAACAGG
rnacentral:rRNA from 1 species